rnacentral:rRNA from 1 species
GUGAAAUUGUUGAAAGGGAAGCGCUUGCAACCAGACCUGCCUGCAGUUGCUCAUCCGGGCUUUUGCCCGGUGCACUCUUCUGCUGUCAGGCCAGCAUCAGUUCGGGCGGUCGGAUAAAGGCUUCGGGAAUGUAGCUCCUCUCGAGGAGUGUUAUAGCCCGUUGCGAAAUGCGGCCAGCCUGAACUGAGGUCCGCGCUUCGGCUAGGAUGCUGGCGUAAUGGUUGUAAGCGGCCCGUCUUGAAACACGGACCAAGGAGUCUAACAUCUGUGCGAGUGUUUGGGUGUCAAACCCGUACGCGUAAUGAAAGUGAACGGAGGCGGGAACCCCUCGGGGUGCACCGUCGACCGAUCCUGAUGUCUUCGGAUGGAUUUGAGUAAGAGCAUAGCUGUUGGGACCCGAAAGAUGGUGAACUAUGCCUGAAUAGGGUGAAGCCAGAGGAAACUCUGGUGGAGGCUCGCAGCGGUUCUGACGUGCAAAUCGAUCGUCAAAUUUGGGCAUAGGGGCGAAAGACUAAUCGAACUAUCUAGUAGCUGGUUCCUGCCGAAGUUUCCCUCAGGAUAGCAGUAACGUUUUCAGUUUUAUGAGGUAAAGCGAAUGAUUAGAGGCCUGGGGGUUGAAACAACCUUCACCUAUUCUCAAACUUUAAAUAUGUAAGAAGUCCUUGUUGCUUAGUUGAACGUGGACAUUUGAAUGUAUCGUUACUAGUGGGCCAUUUUUGGUAAGCAGAACUGGCGAUGCCGGAUGAACCGAACGCGGAGUUAAGGUGCCGGAAUGCACGCUCAU